AGAGAAUUGGUCGAGUGGUUUAAGGCGAUAAGCUUGAGUCUUAUUUGAUAUCUCCAAUAUCACAUCCGUUCGAAUCGGAUAUUCUCUG